rnacentral:rRNA from 1 species
UUUGAUUAUAAUUUAAAGUAGGGCCUGCCCACUGAGGAAUUGAAGGGCCGCAGUAUCUUGACUGUGCAAAGGUAGCAUAAUCAUUAGUUUUUUAAUUGAAAGCUUGUAUGAAUGGUUUGAUGAGAAAAUUACUUUCUAUGUUUAAUUUUAUAAAAACUUUAUUUUUAAGUUAAAAAGCUUAAAUAUUUAUAAUAGACGAGAAGACCCUAUAGAGUUUAAUUUUUAUAAAAAUUUUAAUUUUUAGAAUUUUAUAAUUUUAGUUUUGUUAAAAAUUUGGUUGGGGUGACUGGAAAAUUAAAUUAACUUUUUUUUUAUUAAUACAUUGAUUUAUGAAUUUAUGAUCCAUAUUAAUGAUUAAAAGAAUAAAUUACCUUAGGGAUAACAGCGUUAUUUUUUUUUAGAGUUCUAAUCGAAAAAAAAGAUUGCGACCUCGAUGUUGGAUUAAAAUUAAUAUUAGGUGAAGAAGCUUAAUUAUUUGGUCUGUUCGACCAUUAAAAUUUUACA